rnacentral:rRNA from 1 species
CUACGGGGCGCUCCAGCAACGAAUAUUCCGCAAUGGGCGCAAGCCUGACGGAGCGACGCCGCGUGCAGGACGAAGUCCUUCGGGAUGUAAACUGCUGUCAGGGAUACGGAAGAUCUGACCUAUCCCAGAGGAAGCAUCGACUAACUCUGUGCCAGCAGUCGCGGUAAUACAGAGGAUGCGAGCGUUGUUCGGAAUCACUGGGCUUAAAGCGCGUGUAGGCGGAUCGGUCAGUGUCCUGUGAAAGCCCCCGACUCAACCGGGGAACUGCAGGGCAUACUGCCGGUCUUGAGGCAGGUAGGGGUGCGCGGAACUCUAGGUGGAGCGGUGAAAUGCGUAGAUAUCUAGAGGAACGCCGGUGGCGAAAGCGACGCACUGGGCCUGUACUGACGCUGAGACGCGAAAGCGUAGGUAGCGAACGGGAUUAGAUACCCUAGUAGUC